rnacentral:misc_RNA from 1 species
GUGAAUCAUCGAAUUUUUGAACGCAAAUUGCACUUUCUGGUAUUCCGGAAAGUAUACCUGUUUGAGGAUCAGUUAAAUAAAAAUCGGUGUUGUUGCUGCCUUUCGAGGUGACGCGUAGGAAUUGGGUCGGCUUACCCUCGGUUAUGGGACUUAAAAUUUUGGCAUGAUUUGCGAACGUAUGUAAAUCGUUUACAUACGUUUGAGGUAUCGAAUGCUUCUUAGGUUCGGUCAUUCCCAUGAUUGGCUCCG